rnacentral:rRNA from 1 species
CCCUUAGAUGUUCUGGGCCGCACGCGCGCUACACUGAUGCAUUCAACGAGUCUAAAACCUGCUCUGAUAGGGGUGGGUAAUCUUUUGAAUGUGCAUCGUGAUUGGGAUAGAUGAUUGCAAUUUUUCAUCUUCAACGAGGAAUGCCUAGUAAACGCAAGUCAUCAGCUUGCAUUGAUUACGUCCCUGCCCUUUGUACACACCGCCCGUCGCUCCUACCGAUUGAAUGAUCCGAUGAAUAACAUGGAUUGAGGAUGCAAGUAGGUUCGCCUAUCUUCAUCUUCGAGAAGUGAAGUAAAUCUUAUCAUUUAGAGGAAGGAGAAGUCGUAACA